rnacentral:rRNA from 1 species
UACGGAGGGGGUUAGCGUUGUUCGGAAUGACUGGGCGUAAAGCGCGCGUAGGCGGAUCAGGGAGUUGGGGGUGAAAUCCCGGGGCUCAACCCCGGAAUGGCCUUCAAAACUCCUGGUCUUGAGUUCGAGAGAGGUGAGUGGAAUUCCGAGUGUAGAGGUGAAAUUCGUAGAUAUUCGGAGGAACACCAGUGGCGAAGGCGGCUCACUGGCUCGACACUGACGCUGAGGUGCGAAAGCGUGGGGAGCAAACAGG